GCUGAGGUCUAUCGGGAUGGGGCUUUGCUAUAGAUGCACAUCACUGCAAACACCUUGGAGAGUAAAAUCGUGAUUUGCUUUACUCACAGAGCUUAGUUGUUAGAACUGAGGGAAAGAACUACAAGACCGCU